UAAUUCCACGCAGCGGUCACAUGUGCUCAUUUCGCAUAGAUCACGCACGGGAGCGGUCAUGGACAGCAUGAGCGGGCGCAACAUGGUUGUUGGUUUUCCAUCUGAACCCCCUGACUGAAGAGAAACUUGCAAGUUUCGGUAAUGUCCGAAUUAUAAAGGCUCAUAUAUUGGUUUGGCCCUGAGGCCACACGUGCUGAAGAAUCCUUCUUUAAACAUUAGGCCUAUUUGCUAAAAAAUGGCAAAGGCAGGAAAUGUAAGAACAAAAGUCAUUAGAUCCCAUUGAUGGCUUCGUUUCUGGGGCACAUGUGUUCGGUGAUUGUGGUGGCAUGUUCCUCAAAUGGUGAUUGCGGCUUGAGUGGAGUUAAUUUUAUCGCCAUGUUUGGAGCACAUCUGAAAUGAGUGGUGGUGUUACUAUUGUAAACCAUGUGUUAAUGUAUUGCACAAGUGUUUUGAAAGUUAUGGCUAGUUACCAAUAAAGAAAGUAAAAGCUU